rnacentral:rRNA from 1 species
AGGGGUUCUGAGAGGAAGGUCCCCCACAUUGGAACUGAGACACGGUCCAAACUCCUACGGGAGGCAGCAGUGAGGAAUAUUGGUCAAUGGACGAGAGUCUGAACCAGCCAAGUAGCGUGCAGGAUGACGGCCCUAUGGGUUGUAAACUGCUUUUAUAAGGGAAUAAAGUGAGCCUCGUGAGGCUUUUUGCAUGUACCUUAUGAAUAAGGACCGGCUAAUUCCGUGCCAGCAGCCGCGGUAAUACGGAAGGUCCGGGCGUUAUCCGGAUUUAUUGGGUUUAAAGGGAGCGUAGGCCGGAGAUUAAGCGUGUUGUGAAAUGUAGACGCUCAACGUCUGCACUGCAGCGCGAACUGGUUUCCUUGAGUACGCACAAAGUGGGCGGAAUUCGUGGUGUAGCGGUGAAAUGCUUAGAUAUCACGAAGAACUCCGAUUGCGAAGGCAGCUCACUGGAGCGCAACUGACGCUGAAGCUCGAAAGUGCGGGUAUCGAACAGGAUUAGAUACCCUGGUAGUCCGCACGGUAAACGAUGGAUGCCCGCUGUUGGUCUGAAUAGGUCAGCGGCCAAGCAAAAGCAUUAAGCAUCCCACCUGGGGAGUACGCCGGCAACGGUGAAACUCAAAGGAAUUGACGGGGGCCCGCACAAGCGGAGGAACAUGUGGUUUAAUUCGAUGAUACGCGAGGAACCUUACCCGGGCUUGAAUUGCAGAGGAAGGAUUUGGAGACAAUGACGCCCUUCGGGGCCUCUGUGAAGGUGCUGCAUGGUUGUCGUCAGCUCGUGCCGUGAGGUGUCGGCUUAAGUGCCAUAACGAGCGCAACCCCUCUCCUUAGUUGCCAUCAGGUUAAGCUGGGCACUCUGGGGACACUGCCACCGUAAGGUGUGAGGAAGGUGGGGAUGACGUCAAAUCAGCACGGCCCUUACGUCCGGGGCUACACACGUGUUACAAUGGCAGGUACAGAGAGACGGUUGUACGUAAGUACGAUCAAAUCCUUAAAGCCUGUCUCAGUUCGGACUGGGGUCUGCAACCCGACCCCACGAAGCUGGAUUCGCUAGUAAUCGCGCAUCAGCCAUGGCGCGGUGAAUACGUUCCCGGGCCUUGUACACACCGCCCGUCAAGCCAUGAAAGCCGGGGGCGCCUAAAGUCCGUGACCGUAAGGAGCGGCCUAGGGCGAAACUGGUAAUUGGGGCUAAGUCGUAACAAGGUA